GACGAACGCUGGCGGUGUGCUUAACACAUGCAAGUCGAACGGUAAGGCCCUUUCGGGGGUACACGAGUGGCGAACGGGUGAGUACACGUGAGUAACCUGCCCUCAUCUCUGGGAUAACAGUCGGAAACGGUUGCUAAUACUGGAUAUGAGCUUGCAAGGCAUCUUGUGGGUUGGAAAGAUUUUUUUUGGUUGGGGAUGGACUCGCGGCCUAUCAGCUUGUUGGUGAGGUAGUGGCUCACCAAGGCUUCGACGGGUAGCCGGCCUGAGAGGGCGACCGGCCACAUUGGGACUGAGAUACGGCCCAAACUCCUACGGGAGGCAGCAGUGGGGAAUAUUGCACAAUGGACGGAAGUCUGAUGCAGCAACGCCGCGUGCGGGAUGACGGCCUUCGGGUUGUAAACCGCUUUCAAUUGUGACGAAGCUUUUUUGUGACGGUAGCAGUAGAAGAAGCACCGGCUAACUACGUG
rnacentral:rRNA from 1 species